rnacentral:lncRNA from 1 species
AUGGAUGGUUCUGCAGACAAAGACAGUCCGCUCUUACACUGGUGUCAUACGGAGAAACUGGACUCCCACACAUGUUCAAGGAGAGACUAUGAGAGCAGGUGGAAGUCCUGCAAGUCCAGCAGGCCUCUGAUGCUCACUACCAGAUGUACUAAGUCUACAACACCAAGGAGACACUCGCUCUUCCAGCCUCCUCUCUUCUUCGGCAGCUCCCUAAUCGAGCAAUGAAGUUUGUGUAGAACAUGAUUUAGCACCGAUUUACUACUUCCUCACCUCAUCUAUAAACCUGGUCUGCCUACCUGGUAGCAUCUUCAUGCUUCAAGGAACUGUACUUCAAUAGGAGAUUACCAAUUCUUUAUUGAUCAUGUGCCAGGAGCAAAAUUUUCUUCUGUCACCUCUUGUGGAAGCAAAGUAUUUUCAACCUGACACAGCUAUAUAUAGAGAUUACCGAGUAUUAAACAGAAUUCAUAAACUGUACAUAGAGAGAUUCCCCAAACUGUCACAAGUCCUUACUUAGAUAAUCAUAGACAAUGAGGAUUAAAGCUGUGUAAGGAGGAAGGAACAGAAUAUAUGAUGGAAAGGUGGAGCCGUUUUGUGGGAAAUUUUCAUUUCCAUGACGUGUUAUUUUUAUUUUUCCUUUCCCAUUAUGCUGUAGAUUUUGUGUUACUUGCAUACAAAAGAGUAAUUACUUGCUACUCCACAGCUGAGGUUGCAUUGUAAUUUGCACUUAUAGCAGGACUAAAACCUUUGUGUUUCAUACUUGAGUGAUUGCAGUUAGACUACACAUUUGGCACAAUAACACUUCAGAAUUACAGCUCAAUUUUCUUUUCCUUUUUUCAUAAUAUUUGUUUGCCUCUUGUAAAGCGAAGAACUUAAUUGCCCUCUUUUUCAAAUGUUUUACAUUUUCUUCACAUUUCUGAACUCUUAUAGAAGUAAUUCUGAGGGUUCCCAUGUAUUGCAAGCCAUUCUUCCUUUAGAAUAAGAACCCAGGUAAAGCCAAUUUUGAAGUGUGUGUCUUUACAAAUUUGUAAAGCUUGUGUCCUGGAUUAAUAUUUUGAUGAUUUUUAUUUUUUUUAAAAUCUGAUGUCUGUUUUUCAUGUUGUUUUCAUUUUCCUUAUUGUUUUCUGACGGCUUCUAGCUAUAGUCACUGUAUUACUUCUUUGUAUUUAGUACUGGUGCUCCAACAUCAUUAAAUAAUAUUAGAUGGAACUGUUCUGUCUGUUUUUAUUGGAAAAAUAAAGUUUGUCAGAAUCAAAUUUUUCA